GCUUUUCCCUGAACAGGACAGGAGGCUUCUAAUACAGCUCUGAGAUCUGUAGGUCUAAUUCUUCCUAUUAGUCAGCAAGCUAACUGCUGCCAUCCCAAGACACAUCAUUCAUCUCAGCUCCUAUUACACUUUGCUGCAGCCAUAUGUUGACUCACAAUUCCCACUGUCUCACUAUUAUCUACCACAGUGGUGCCCCAUCCUGUAUCUCUCCAGCAUUAGCGCUGCAGGAUUUUCCAAAUAAUCCCUGUUGGGAGUCCAACAGCAGUGCAGCAGAAGGACAGAAACCGUGUGGGACUUGUGCAGAAGCUUGAUCAGCUCCUUUUGCGUUUUUUAAUCUUCCACAAAGCGGACUAACAUUUAGGUUUAAUUCUACCUGCAGCAUCCCCUCCAUCUGUGUGCUGUGCCUGCUACAAAGACUGUAGAAAAGCAUGUCAGAUAUAUUACUGUCCGAUUUGGAGGCCUCAGUCUCCUGUGGUCAACUCUUUUUUUUUCACCUGAGGUCAUGUGUCUUAGAGACCAGUCUCUAAGACACAUGAUUAUGAGAACAGUCUUAUCACAGCCAGGGACAGUCCAGACUGCUAAUUGUUUGCACAGGUAUGUCCAUGUAAGUGUAUUCAUGCAUGGCUCUUACCUUUGUGCAUGCAUCUCAAUAUUUUCAUUUUUCUGUUGUGAUAUAAAUCUUGCAGAGGAUUGCAACCAAAACCCAAAAUUACAGGAGGGAUUAAGUGAUCUGUGAAUCUCACUUUUUCUGAUUAAAUUUUGCUCGCUCAUUAUCCACCACUCUACUGUCUCGUGCUUCAAGGUAAAUCCUCUAACACUGAUUGUACCGCAGAAAAAAAAAUCUAAUCAGGUUUUUUGUACUACAGCUCCAUACAAAUGAAACGCAGACAAAUUUGUACACCACACCGUGACACAAACACAUAAAACGAGGAUGCUUGCCAUCGUCUGUGCCUUGAAUUAACCUUCUGCAUAUGUUAAACUGCAAUAACAGGUUUGGCUGUCGUGUCUCGCCCCCCUCUCUCCCUGAUUUAACUCCACAUUACAGCGUUCCACGGGGGCCUAUAUCCCUACGUGUUAAUCACUGCUCUUCCCGGCACACAGAGAAAUAUAUGGCGGGUGCUUGCAGAGGAACAGUGGAGGACAAAAACGUGCUCGCUCUUGGACACUACUUGAUUACAGACUAAUUGGUCUAGAGUGAUUAAAUAUCUCGUGCUUCUCACUAAUUGCAGCUAUUUAAAGCAGCUAUUAGCUUAAAAUGCCUGCCACCAACAGCCGUUUACUCAUAAACAAAAUGUGAGAUGCAGCUCCGAACGGAAAACCAGACUUACAGACUCACGGCAGGUUUUGUUCUGCAGCUUCACAUCACAAAACAUCCGACACAAGUCUGGUUUUUGGGAGGCCAGGAAAUUUUCCUUCAAACAUUUUCAAUUUAUCAUUUAAAAAAGAUCUGCUAACGUUAAAAGCAUCAGUCUUUUUCUGUUUGCAAGCAGCUGCAGAUGUACAUUUCUACUGACGCCCGAUUAAUCAUAAUUAUAAUUUCUACAUUUGUAUUACUGCUGAUAAUUGAUGUGUAAUUGCUUCUUCAUUUGAGUGUGUCCUUGCAUGUGUGAAAGAAUUUAAAUACAUGAAAGCAAACAAUAUUUAACAAUAAUCCAUAAGACAAUCAUUAGGUUUUACUUAGGAGCCUCGGUUGUAUCUUUGCGCAGAUACCCAAAGAUGGAGAAGAAGGACGUCCUCACACACACUCUACAUGCUCAUGUGAUGUGUGCCUGGAGCAGCCAUCAAACAAAAUCACUGAGGAGUUAAUGUGUGUACACCCACCAGUUUAGCUACAGUCAGGGCGUCUUUGAGGGCAACAACAAGUAAGUGACAGGGGUGAACGAGACGAAGAAGGAGGCCGAGGUGCAGCAAGUGAGGAGGGACGGGAAUAAAGAGGGAGAGAGAUAGAAGAAAAGAGGAGGGAGGACUUGGCAUCACCGGUGCCAACCACAGCUCCCGGGAGACGGGCGAUGAAUUACAGAAAUGAGAUCUCAGACAAAUGCCAAGCUUUUCCAAAGAGCAGCGAGAAUGGCUGCACCCCCUGGAGAACACAGUGAUUAGAGAGGGGGAAGCAGGGGUCUGCCAAGCCCCUUAAAGGAUCUCUGUUAGUCCCUGUUAGUCCAUGUAGAUGUGUGUGUGUGCGUGUUUGUGUGUGUGUAGGGGUGGCACUGGGACAACAGCCAUGUCACAGAACAUGACCCUGAGGUGCAGCCAUCAGACAGCCAAUAUGGUGAGUUAAAUACCGCUGCUGCAUCCGAGCGGAAGGGCUCCAACUGCCUCCAAUCAAACAGGUUUCUGUUCACCUAAUGAGCUUAAUUAAUGAGGCUUAGUUUACACUCCGAAAGAGGGAACAAUGGGCCUCAUUUCCAGAAGAAUACAGUUUCUCUUUAACAGACACAUGGAGAGAUCCUCAGCUGUUAAAAAACCGUGAGGGCAAAACCAAUGAAAAUACAGGACACCAGGAGAGGCUGACAUUCAUCAAAAUUACACUAUCUACGUUUAACUUCAUCUGGACUAAGAUGGGGAACAUAAGCAGGUGAUUUUUUUGGGUGUACUGGGUGUUGAGAUGCACUGCAAUCUCCUCUGGAUUAAACAUAAUAGAGAGGUGUUUGUAAGUUUAGGGUACAAAAAGCUUCAUUUGACUGUAUGCACUUUGUAUAGUGAAGGUAGCAGGAAGCAAAACACAUCAUGACCAGAGAGGUCACCACUCUGGGUGGACACAUUUCCUGACCUGCACCAUUAAAGCUGCUGAGCUCACAGUCAAGAUAAAGAACAUGGAGAGAGAGGAAAAAUGUGAUACACUACAAAUAAAUGUAUAAACCACAGGUGAUAUCUAUAAAUGACAGAAUAACAGAAUUAUUGUGAUUUUGGUUGAUGAAUAAACAGAGUUCUCACCGCCUUUCUCUGACAUGCUGUUGCACUGAUGGUAAUGCCUGCCAUUAUAAAACACCAGGGCUGAUAGUGACUGUCUUUUUUAAAAUAUUCAAAUCUUGAUAUCUUUUUACAAACAAAUAGACUGUAAUACUGCAAACUACCUGCACCAGCCCAAUGAGAGACGAUUCUGCACUUAUAAAAACAGACUUUACAAAAACAUUAAAGUUGGCUCCUCUGGGUUAUUCACCAACUCAACAUUUGAACUUCAUUGAUUGAUAUUUGAAUUGUUUUCUUCCAGUAACUAACGAUCUACUAGGAGUAGUAGCAUAGUUUGAAGCCAGGACAGAUAAAAUAUCAAAAUGUAAGCAUGAAAAUGGUUUGCUGUGUCAGCUUUAAAGAGGAAGUGUCAGUAACAGGGCUGCUGAUGUGGAUGAAUCAAAAUUUGGUCAUUAUUAAAAAUGGACAAUAACAUCUACACUUAUUGUGUAUACUCGUUCAGUUUAUAAAGUUAUACGUUAAUGUAUGUACCCUUGUCUUACAUUAACUGUUUGACAUAUUUUGUUGGUUUAUUUUCAACAUUUCAGUUAAUAUCAUAAAAAUAUAAUUAUUUUGAUAUUUUAUGGCCAAAAUAAGCGUCUCUAAGUUAUGAACAGAUGUACUAUAACUCCACAUCUUUUUGCAGGUCAGUGGUGACGUAUCGAACUCCUUUACUGAAGCCCACCAGCAACAAAAACUGCCACAGGACAUGACUGUCAUUUUCUUUUCAUAAAUACAUUUCUAAGUAAUAUACAUGUUUUAGAUAUCCAUCUUAUGUGAGUAGACAUCUUUAAAAAAAAAAAUGUUAAUAAAUCAAAUAUAACUAUCUUUGUCUUCAAACCAGUUUAAUUCCUGCAGCAACUCACCAAAUACAAAAACAUGUACAGUAUAUCCUGCGUUCGAGGAGCCUGUUCUUAUAUGAGUCUAAAAGUCUUGUACUGUGUGAACAAAAUCAUGAUUUAAUUUGAAUGUUUUAAUAAAACCAUCUAAACCGUCAAAAAGGGUGUGCCCCUGAUAAUGUGAGUGGACUUCUUUAUACUGUAGAGAUAAAACCAAUAAUGCUGAAAUGAUUAUCCUCCAUUCUUAUCAAAUAUAAAUUAUUUCUGAUAUAUGUAUAUAUAUACACACAGACACAC